rnacentral:rRNA from 1 species
GACGAACGCUGGCGGCGUGCCUAACACAUGCAAGUCGAGCGUGGUUGAAGCGAGGGGUAACUCGAGUUUCUACCUAGCGGCGGACGGGUGAGUAACGCGUGGGCAACCUGCCUCAAGGACUGGGAUAACAGCUCGAAAGGGCUGCUAAUACCGGAUAAGCCUAUGGCCUCGCAUGGGGCCAUGAGCAAAGGGGAAACCCGCCUUGAGAUGGGCCCGCGUCCCAUCAGCUAGUUGGUGAGGUGAAGGCUCACCAAGGCGACGACGGGUAGCCGGCCUGAGAGGGUGACCGGCCACACUGGGACUGAGACACGGCCCAGACUCCUACGGGGGGCAGCAGUGGGGAAUCUUGCACAAUGGGCGAAAGCCUGAUGCAGCGACGCCGCGUGAGCGAAGAAGGCCUCGGUUGUAAAGCUCUGUCUGAGGGACGAAGGAAGUGACGGUACCUCCGGAGGAAGCCACGGCUAACUACGUG